UACGAAGGCCCCAAGCGUUAUCCGGAAUUACUGGGCGUAAAGCGUCUGUAGGUGGUCUCUUAAGUCUUUCCGUGAAAUUUCGGGGCUCAACCCUGAAUUGCGGGAGAAACUGGGAGACUAGAGUGUGGGAGGGGGAAGCAGAACGGUAAGAGUAGGGGUGCAAUCCGUUGAUACUUACCAGAAUACCAAAAGCGAAGGCAGCUUCCUGGAACACAACUGACACUGAGAGGCGAAAGCGUGGGGAGCAAAAGGG
rnacentral:rRNA from 1 species